CAAACGGUCCUUUUCAGGACCACAAAAUAUAUCAAAAAAGAGAUACU
rfam:Musca domestica strain aabys unplaced genomic scaffold Scaffold20311, whole genome shotgun sequence.